rnacentral:tRNA from 1 species
UAAAAUAUAUUCUACAAAAGAUUUAGUUCUUACAAAACUAAAAAGACAACUGUCUAUUUUAA